GUGAUGGGUUGGACUGGGGCAGGGGGAUCACCAGGAGUCAACAUCAACUUGGGAUUCAAAGUGACAAAAAUAAAAGUAAACACCCUUUCAGAGAUGUGCAGUUUUUGUUCCCACCAACAAUGUGUUUGAGGGUGUUUCUCAAGCCUGGACUAAUUUGAUAGAUCUUUUAUCAGCUGCCAGAUGAGAAACAAAUCUCACCGAUUUGACUUUUUGUUUAAUUCGAGAUUGGAUAUUAAGCUUUCAACAUUUUAAAUCAACUUUCUUUCUGUAGCCAGUUUGUGAACAGGCAGAGAUCCUACUAGAUAGGGAGGAAGCCAAGUGUAAUGUGUGUAAUUCUUUGCUCUGAAGCAAUGUGAGGCAGAGACAUUUAGUGACAUCACCAGCGACUUUCAGGAUAGUCUUAUCUGGAGAGACUUACAGAAUGCUUUGGAUCUGCACCUUCUCGCUGUCACGAAGAGCUAUGCCCUGGUAGUAGGAUACACAUAGUUAGGGAACCUCAGUGGAAUAGCCGAUGUAGGAUGGGUGGGUAUUUACUUAUUUAUUUUAAAGACAGCAUCUCAUGUAGCUAAGCCAAGGCUAAUUUUGAGCUCCUGUACCUGUUUCCACCUCCUCAUUCCAUGGGUUAUUUAUUUAUUUACUUUUUUUUUUUUAAGAAGAUGAUAGACAUGAGAGUAUACGUCACGAACACGCUCUAUUUGCAUAUUAUUAAGCCCCCCCCCCCAUUAUUUUAUUUUGAAGAAUCCACAAGCAAGGGCAGAACAUGAAUCCUCAAAUCAGGCUACCGAAUGUUCGAGAAGGGCCUUGAGUCAUAGGACGGCAUUGUAAAGAUGGAGAAAAAUAGACAUCCUUAUCUGGUUGUGUGGGGGAGGGGGUAGAAUUCCUACAGUCUACCCUUGCAACAUAUAGGGAAACAUACCUCUUCCUUCUCCAGGCCUCGAUGGAGUCUAGUAUCUUUUACAGAGCUUUGCAUGUUUAAAAAAAGUGAGAAGUAAGAAUCUAAGAGAAGGCGACUCCUGAGUCCCACCCACCCCUUUCCGAUCUAUGGGGAGGUCGCGCUGUGCACCGCUUUUUUGUGCGGGCUUCCCAGGACCUGAUCCUGGGCAGUUGGGGAUUACAUCCCCGAGGGGCCAUGGCGGGUCGGGAGGCGUGCGUGGGGACCCGGGGCCUCCCUGGUUCCCACUCCUGCGUCCCCGCCCUCGCGGCAUCCCCCUCCCCGGCGCUGCGGCUGGCGCGCGCCCCGCCUGACGCUGCAGCUGGGCCGGCGACUCGCCAUUGGAUUAAAAAUAGCAGCUCCCGCCCGCCGGCCGGCCGGGGCAGAGGCCGAGCCUCCCGAGCCUAAACUGAUCCUCAGCCCGCGCGACCGCCGCGUCCAGGUCCUGUUCUCCCGCUGCGCCGCGCUCCUCCCCAGGCCCGCUGCGCUCCGCGGUCAUGCAGCGCCGGGGCGCCCUGUUCAGCGUGCCGGGCGGCGGCGGGAAGAUGGCUGCAGGGGACCUGGGCGAGCUGCUGGUGCCUCAUAUGCCCACGAUCCGCGUGCCCAGGUCGGGGGACCGCGUCUACAAGAACGAGUGCGCCUUCUCCUACGACUCCCCGAACUCUGAAGGUGGGCUCUACGUAUGCAUGAAUACCUUUUUGGCCUUUGGAAGGGAACACGUAGAAAGACACUUUCGAAAAACUGGACAGAGCGUAUACAUGCACCUGAAGAGGCACAUGCGAGAGAAGGUAAGAGGAGCCUCUGGUGGAGCUUUACCCAAAAGGAGGAAUUCCAAGAUAUUUUUAGAUCUAGAUAUGGAUGACGAUUUAAAUAGUGACGAUUACGAAUAUGAAGACGAAGCCAAACUUGUUAUAUUCCCAGACCACUAUGAAAUAGCCCUUCCUAACAUUGAGGAGUUACCAGCCCUGGUAACAAUUGCUUGUGAUGCAGUGCUCAGCUCAAAGUCCCCUUACAGGAAGCAGGAUCCAGACACAUGGGAAAACGAAGUGCCAGUAUCGAAGUAUGCCAACAACCUUGUGCAACUGGACAACGGGGUCAGGAUUCCUCCCAGUGGCUGGAAGUGUGCCCGAUGUGACCUGCGGGAGAACCUCUGGUUGAAUCUGACUGACGGCUCUGUUCUGUGUGGGAAGUGGUUUUUUGACAGCUCAGGGGGCAACGGCCACGCACUGGAGCAUUACAGGGACAUGGGCUAUCCUCUGGCCGUGAAGCUGGGCACCAUCACACCUGAUGGGGCAGAUGUUUAUUCUUUUCAAGAAGAGGGGCCUGUUUCGGAUCCUCAUUUGGCCAAACACUUAGCACAUUUUGGGAUCGACAUGCUCCACACGCAAGGGACAGAGAACGGUCUCCGGGACAAUGACAUCAAACCGAGAGUCAGCGAGUGGGAAGUGAUCCAGGAGUCAGGAACUAAGCUGAAGCCGAUGUACGGCCCAGGGUACACGGGCCUGAAGAACCUGGGCAACAGUUGCUACCUCAGUUCUGUCAUGCAGGCCAUCUUCAGCAUCCCAGAGUUCCAGAGAGCGUAUGUAGGAAACCUCCCAAGGAUAUUUGACUACUCACCGUUAGAUCCAACGCAGGACUUCAACACACAAAUGACUAAGUUGGGACAUGGCCUCCUCUCUGGCCAGUACUCGAAGCCUCCAGUGAAAUCUGAGCUCAUUGAACAGGUGAUGAAGGAGGAGCACAAGCCUCAGCAGAAUGGGAUCUCUCCACGCAUGUUCAAGGCCUUUGUCAGCAAGAGCCACCCGGAAUUCUCCUCCAACAGACAGCAGGAUGCCCAGGAGUUUUUCUUGCAUUUGGUCAAUCUGGUAGAGAGGAAUCGCAUUGGCUCAGAAAACCCAAGUGAUGUUUUCCGGUUUUUGGUGGAGGAGCGAAUUCAAUGCUGUCAGACCAGAAAGGUUCGCUACACGGAGAGGGUGGACUACCUAAUGCAGUUACCUGUGGCCAUGGAGGCAGCAACCAACAAAGAUGAGCUGAUCACCUAUGAACUCAUGCGGAGGGAAGCAGAAGCCAACAGAAGACCCCUACCUGAGCUGGUGCGAGCCAAGAUCCCAUUCAGUGCCUGCCUUCAGGCCUUUGCUGAACCAGACAAUGUGGAUGAUUUCUGGAGCAGCGCUCUGCAGGCCAAGUCUGCAGGGGUCAAAUGUUUCUAUUGAUAUGCCAGACCUACUAGAUAUCAGCCAUCUCAGAGCCAGGGGCUUGCAGCCAGGGGAAGAGGAGCUUCCUGACAUCAGCCCCCCCAUAGUCAUUCCUGAUGACUCAAAAGACCGCUUGAUGAACCAGUUGAUAGACCCCUCAGACAUUGAUGAGUCUUCGGUGAUGCAGCUGGCUGAGAUGGGCUUCCCUUUGGAAGCCUGCAGGAAGGCUGUGUACUUCACGGGGAACACCGGAGCUGAGGUGGCCUUCAACUGGAUUAUCGUGCACAUGGAGGAGCCUGACUUUGCUGAACCACUGGCCAUACCUGGGUAUGGAGGGGCUGGGGCCUCUGUCUUUGGUGCUACUGGAUUGGACAACCAACCUCCUGAGGAAAUCGUAGCUAUUAUCACCUCGAUGGGAUUCCAGCGAAAUCAGGCAGUGCAGGCUCUACAAGCAACGAAUCAUAACCUGGAAAGAGCACUGGACUGGAUCUUCAGCCACCCCGAGUUUGAAGAGGACAGUGACUUUGUGAUCGAGAUGGAGAACAAUGCAAAUGCCAACAUCGUGUCUGAGGCCAAGCCAGAGGGACCCAGAGUGAAGGAUGGGUCUGGAAUGUACGAGUUGUUUGCUUUCAUCAGUCACAUGGGAACAUCUACAAUGAGUGGCCAUUAUGUUUGCCAUAUCAAGAAAGAGGGACGAUGGGUGAUCUACAAUGACCACAAAGUUUGUGCCUCAGAAAGGCCCCCCAAAGACCUGGGCUAUAUGUACUUUUACCGCAGGAUACCAAGCUAAACCUCACAGGAAUUGGCGAGAAGAAGCCAUACACCUUUUUAAUUUGCCAAAAAAGAAAAAGAAGAAAAAAAGAAAAAGAAAAAGGAAAAAUAAAGGAAAAAAGUUGGGACAGCAGAUGCGGAGGACUACAUGGGUACUUACUGCUUCUUUUAAGAGCUUGGUCACGACACCUUCUGGAGAAGAACUGGGAAUAGGGGGUUUUGUGACUGUUCAGAGAGAGGGUGAUGGAAGAAAAGACAUUGGCUACCAGCCUAUCAAUAGGCACUGUCUUUCCCUCUCUUCUGCUUUGGGGGGGUCACUGGUAAGGGCUUCCCUACAGUGAGAAAAAUGCCCACUUUUAAAAUUUUUCCAUAUAGGACAUCAAAACCUGGACUGGCAUUUACUGGUGGCAUUGUGUCUUCAUUUCCCACAGUAAGUUCUGACCUAGCUAUGUGUACCGGGACAUCUGCAGUGGAUGCUAUUUUUAAUUUUAAUCACAUCAAACUUUAUAUUACACUGUAUGAGUGUGUGUGAGUGUGUGAGUGUGUGUAUGUGUGUGUGUGACCUUUGUAGUCUUCUGGAUAUCUGAUGGAUUGGUGUUCAAAGGCUAAAUAGUUGCUGUUAAAUGUAUUUGGAAAAGGCAGGCAAACAUCUUUAAAAAUUAUAACUCAGGAACAAUUGUUAAAAAUGAGUUCCCCACUUGGAUUUUAAAGAGUACAGAGAGCUGAGUUGUGGCCUCUAAGUGCUGUCUGGUGUUCAUGUGGGUCUGUGUCGUUUGACAUUGACGCCAGGUGCCUAAGUCUUGUCACACUGUGCUUUGCCCGGGGCAGCUGGGAGCGCAGUCCCUCAAAGAUCUCUGUUUUAGUUAAACAUCUGGCCUCUCGAGAUCAUGCUCACUCCCUGGGAUCAUGUUAGAUGGCCGUGGUUUGUCUGUUUUUCUGGUCUCUGAAAUUUCUUACGUUUUUUACAUCUCUACUUCUCUGGGGCCAGCUUUCCCUCUGCCCUCACUGCCUAUCUGCUGUGGCCCAUGGUGCAACCUUGGGCACUUUAAGGAUGAGAACUGCAGAGAUGUUUCUGUCGCAGCUGCAAUGCCAGCCUUCCCACCUGGUCAUUUCAGUGUCCUAGCCGUGGCCUGAGAACAGAGUAGAGUUGUGAAUGUGCAGUGGCCAGGAACGAGCGCUCUCUGUGAUUUUUGUUAUUACUUUUCAUCAAAUCCCAGCCUCUGGAGUUUCUGGUCCAGAUCAUUGAACAAAUGGAAAAGGAUUUAUUGCUGUCUGCUUGACACGUACUUGUUUGAUUGAUCUUUUUAGAAAUGGCAGAAAAAUGAAGAAGUAGAACAGAAUGGGCUCAGUAAAGGAGAGGCAUUGGGUUGGGACAGGAGGAGUCUGACCAGUCAGAGUUCAAACCCCGGGGCCCUGUCUCAAGGAAGAUCCCAUGUAAGCCUGGGCUGUGGGGCCGGGGCUAGAGGCCUGGGUGCAUCUGGGUGCUGUCUCAGUUGGCUAGGGGCCAGUCCUUCCUUUCAUCUAUGCCUCAGUUUCCGCAUCUGCACGGUGGUCAGGUGACACCCCCUUCCACCCCUUCUAGCAGGCUUUGGCCAGUUCUGAAGAACCUUCACAGAACAGAAGGUAGAACGUGGUAGGUCCCAUUAGAGUGUACUGCCUUCUUGAGUUAUCCAGUGCUUUUUAUAUUUGGGAAUAAAUGACAUGAUGGGAGGAUAGCUCAUGAUGCUGUAAUUCUGACACUGUCCCACUGAGGGACCUUUGAGGCUUGGCUCAGAGAUCCUAAGUCUCUGCUGUGUGUGUCCCUGACCAGCGACCCUACCCCCUCAAGUGGAAAUUCCUACACUAAGCAGCCUUACAAAACUCAGUCCCUAAGGGCCACAUAUGAUAGGAUAAUGACUGAACUUGCACCUUCAGUGGCUGGUUUGCAGUGUUACAAAGCAAAGGCCUUUCACGUGGGUAGGGGCAUCUCAGGAGGUUUGAAUUCAAAUGUGGUCAAAGAUUGCAUGUAUAUUUUGAACAAAAUAAAAGAUUUUAUAAAACUUUGCAAACUCAAUGUUGUAAAAUCCAUAUUAAAGAUUUUAGGCUAUAAACUAUUUAACUUCAUUAGGUAGAAGAAGCAAAUUAACCCUUCUGGCACCAAGACGUAUUUCAAGAAAGUGUAUAAUGGCUGCCUCUUCCCUGCCUCACAAACUCAAGGGCUAUUCACGGCAAGGCUUUGUAUGUGCGCUAUUCUUCAUUUGGAUCAGGAGCAGGACACACUGGUAUGGGCAGUGCCUUGCUCUCUUAUUAGAAUGUGCUUGCAUGUGUCUCCUGGUAUAUGCAAGCUAAGCUGCUCUAGAGUACCAGUGGGAUAUACCAUUUAUCUUACACAUGUGUGUAGACUGGACACGUGUGGGUUGUGUCUGCUAACCCACCUGCUAGGAGUCUUCUGUGUGAGAUGUGGCGUGAUUGUGUGUCUCUCUCUCCAUGUGAAAGCAUCUGUGUGGAGGACAGCGCUUUCUUCCUGUAAAUAUCUUUUGAUAUUUAUUUGUGUAAACUCCCGAUAUGUCUUUGGAAAAAUGGAUCUGUUUUGUCACUUGGUUGAAAUACCCAAAUAACCAGUCAGAGAUCCAGUUUGGUACAGGUUUUCUUUUUCUUCUAAAUGGGGAGAAUCCGGGAAGAAUCAUAUUUUAAUGACAUUUUAUAUCAAUGUGGCUUCAGUAUUUUCGAAUUGACUCGUCUCUUUUGCCAAACCUACAAGAGAAUGUGCCUGCUGCUUCCCCUGCAUCCCCUUGGGCUCCCAUUACCUCAGCCGCAGACCUCCAAGUGUGCUUCUGUCCUGACAGCAUCUCGGUGUGACAUGCCUGAGUCUCUCUACUGCUGGGCCCUUGUCUCUGGACCAGGAGGUUAGACCAGAGAAUCUGUGAAGUCUCCUUCUGUUUGACCACCACAUUCUGUGUUUAUUUUUCUGUGGUUCCAACCAGAAUCAGACAUGAGCUAUGGUAGUUGCUCAGAAGUUUCCGUGCCUCACUCUGCCGUUAUUCUAGCUUGUCGGUUCCUGACAUUGUUGGUCCACAUCCUCUUUCCCUCAAUCUAUUUUCUUUUGUAAUCUCAUUUCCCUGACUCCAGAACUCAAAACUUUUUAGUCUAUAAGGCCCUUUGCUACUGCCCCCCCCCCAAACAAAAGGAGCAAUCCAUUUAUGACAACCUCUUGGAAAAGUCUCAGAAUGCCUCUCAGCCACUCAAACCCACACAAAUAUUUUGAAAUCCCAAGUCCACUGUUGCUAGCCCAGAUCCCCAGAUACAUGCUGCCAAAGCUGUCUGUCCUACAAAGGGUGUUUAGAAAGUCCGUCUUCAUCAUCAUAGAUGCCGUGGCUGCUGGAUCUCAUCACAGGUCUUUAUAGUCUGUGAGGUUGCCAGGAGACAUGGACCGAACAGAGGAUGGCAUUACAUAUAAUGUGCUUCUGCCUGUUAAGUCAGUAUCCCAGGGAACAGAACAAGGUCUGUGCAGUGAAGCUGGUGGAUAGGACCACCUACCCAGUGCCACCAGGGUUUCCUGUUGUCCUAAUCUGCUUUUCAUUGGUGGAAUAAAGACCAUGGCCAAAAACAACUUGGGGAGAAAAGGGUUAAUUUAAUCUUAUAACUUAAGGAAGGGAAGUCAGGGCAGGACCUCAAGGCAAGAACCUGAAGGCGAGAACCGAGGCAGAAGCGACUGAGGAGUCCUUCUUACUGGUUCGAUCCCCACUGCUCGCUCAGCCUGCUUUCCAGGACCACCCAUGCUGGGCUGGCUCCCCCACCAACCAUUAACCAAGGAGUUGCUCCAUAGGCUUACCCAUAGGCUAAUUUUAAUGGAACCAUUUCCUCAAUUGAGGUUUCCUCAGAUGAUCUUAGCUAGAGUCAAAUUAAAUGAAGCAAACAAACAAAACCUAAUCAGCACACCUGCUCUAUAAUUAGUCAUCACCCUUACAGUUGGUGGAAGGUUCUGUAGCCCUCCAGUGUGGUGGGAUUUGGUCAGCCCACACUCAGAUUGUUCCACAUACAUAAAACGCACACUAGAACGUGAAAGCUUCAACAAGUAGUGUGACUACUGCAAAUGAUGUGGGAUACUUGAUUACAUGUGCUGGCCAUUUAACAUGGAAAUCUCCACUGUUGUCUGGUCUGAGCAUAGCUAGUGAAUAAUUUAGAGGUAUGGCUAAGGCCCUCCCGUUAGUGUUCUGCACUGAGAGGUCCACCGUGAAAUCCCAUGGGUAAGACAGGAACCUGCAGAGGCUCCAAAAUCGGAGCAACAUGGAUGGUUUUGCUGGAUUAGGGAGCACGUGAAGCACAGGGCAGGGCCCAGAAGCUGCAAGAAGAGUCUUGUAGUUAGGUUCUGGGGCGCUUCCAGUUAGGUUCUGGGGCGCUUCCGCUUUAAAGAAAAUAAAUCCCCCAAUUUAGACGCAAAAGCAGCGCACCCCCAGCGGCCUUCCCCAAGCCUUGCUCUGGAGCUACCCUGUGGAUUGGCACCUGAUUUCCCAGCAUCCUCUGGGUGCUGUGGAUGUUACCUGGGGCAGGGGUUUGGGUACUGCUUUAAUUUCAGGCAACGUUCUCUUGUGGUUCCCCUCCCCGCGUGCGUCCUGUAUUCUGUUCUCCCGCUGGGUAUGUGGAAAGGCUGUGUGGAUCUCAGCUCCUCCGCUCGCACAGAGGCUGAGCCUGACCUGUGCCCACCUGCCCAGCAGUGUUAACUGUUGGGUGCUGGAAGACUUGGUAUUUAUUUAUUUUGCACUAGUCACGGUUGGUGUGGAAACUACUUCAAGUGUAUGGGAGACUACUUGCCUGUAAUGGAAAGAGAUGGAUAAUUUAUUGCUUUGAUAGUUUUAAAUUAAAAGCUAUUCUCACAAACUCA